rnacentral:tRNA from 1 species
GGUCCCGUAGCUCAGCUGGUUAGAGCUUUAUGCUUAUAUCACGUGAUCCCACGUACGUAUGCAUCGUAAGGGUCGGGAGUUCGAUCCUCCCCGGGAUCA